UACGAAGGGGGCUAGCGUUGCUCGGAAUCACUGGGCGUAAAGGGUGCGUAGGCGGGUUUUUAAGUCAGGGGUGAAAUCCCGGAGCUCAACUCCGGAACUGCCUUUGAUACUGGAAAGCUUGAGUUCGGGAGAGGUGAGUGGAACUGCGAGUGUAGAGGUGAAAUUCGUAGAUAUUCGCAAGAACACCAGUGGCGAAGGCGGCUCACUGGCCCGAUACUGACGCUGAGGUGCGAAAGCGUGGGGAGCAAACAGG
rnacentral:rRNA from 1 species